rnacentral:lncRNA from 7 species
GGGCAUUUUGCUGGAGAUCCCUGCAUACCUGAGCUCUUCUGCAGGUGAGGGGGUUGCAGCCAGGAGGAGCCUUCCAUGCCUGGAGACAUGAGCACUGUCCUGCAGCCCUACUGAGGAUGCUGAAGUGACCUUUUCUCUUCUACGUGAAAAACAGCAUCCACCAAAACCACCUAAAUGCAGAGAAAUUAAGACUUCCAUCCCUAUGACAGAUGGUAUUUAAGGCCCAAUCCUAAUGUUGGCAAAGUUAGUAGAAGACUUACUGAAAGACUGGUGGAAAGAAUUUGGAAGGUUUUAAUGAGGAAAAUAUUCCCAAGUGGGGGAAAAAUAAAUGGGUUCAGCUGCCUUCCUUUAUUAGGAAAGGCUACUUCAGAAUACUUCUAGAACUGGGAGAGCAUGGAUUAAGUUAUGAAAGAUAUACACAUGGCCAUUCCAUAUAUUUUUACCAAAAAUGUGAAAGAAGAAACCCAACCCAGCAAAAUGGUUUAUGGAGAAAAAAAAAAAAGGCUGAAAAGCCAUGAUUGAUGCCAACAGUACAAGAGAUGUUAAUAUUUCAGCUUUAUUUCACUGUGUGGUGUUCUCUCUUGGGCACUGAUAGCUUGUGGCACGUGAUCUGUGCGAUAAUCAAGGCCUCUUCCUCAAGAUAAACCAUAAACAAGUCUGGUUAGAGCUAGGAGCCUGAGAGAGCACCAAUGGAUUCAAGGACGAGCAUCUCGUGGCCUUUCAUAUUAGUCACCAAGAAAUGUAUGAUCUUUGUCAUCUAAGAGCAGAUAAACCAGCGCAUGGACUACUCAAUUCUGCACGCAAAUGCAGAAAUGGUUUGUUAUGGACUGGUCUGAGGUGUGAAUGACUGUGAACAGACCAACUACAGGGAAAGGAGUUUGGAAGCCAUCUAAAAGAUCUGCUUACAGGUGAUGGGUAGGGUCUCCACUAAUCUGUAAAAGCCUGAAAUAUUAAGAGGAUCUCACACUUUCCAGAGCUGUGGAGACACUUCUCUGCACUGGGCUGCAGCACUACAAUUGUGUCUGCAUUGUUCCUAUCAGGACUGAGAAGACAAGUGACAACCAGUCCAAAGUGCCAGACUGAAAGCCUUCCCCAGCUUCCAACACAUCUUUCCCAGCAAAGCGUCCGUGAGCCUGAAGGGUUCUCUUCAAUCAGUUUUUUCUUUACUUAGUCAUAAUUGAAAAUUGGCAACAAGUGUCUGUAAAGAUUCCCCCUAGCCUUUUUGUUUUCCAGGGGAAAAUUACUAGUACAUGUCUCAGCUCGCAUCUCUCUGCUCCUUGCUAUCAGUGCAUACUGUACCUGCUCAAAAUAAUUAUUGCACUCUUCUUUGUGCAUGGAGUGAC